AGGCACCUCUGUCACCCCAGGAAGCACCGGGGCUGGAAGCGCAACAGGUGCUACGGGGCAAUUCAUUAGGACCACCAUGCUACCUGGGAGUUCGCGCACAGAGGCCACAACUUCAACAGAAGGCAGUGGCAUUCCUGGCACUGGAUCCAGACCAGGCACCACUGGAGUACCAGCAG